rnacentral:hammerhead_ribozyme from 1 species
GUACUGCUGAGGAGUCCCAUAAUAGGACGAAACGGCAGUCCAGUGC